rnacentral:sRNA from 1 species
GGCAAGUGAUCGCCAAACUCAUCGUCCGAGGACGUGGAUCCUAGAUCUAAUUCUACAAAGAAUUGCAACGUACAGAACAAUAUCAGAACUGCCAGAUAAGUGUUCAUUACCGGCUUGUCCAUCGCGACGAGUAGCAAUUCAAUAGUAGGCUAACUUUAUUGACAGUUUUGGCAGCGUUGGCAUUUGUUUUUUGUUUGAUCGACCGUUGGGAUGCACGGGCCGCACGGAUAAACGAAUGUACAAGCAUAGGGGAAGGAGCAUUUCUGUCCCCAACAUCUGAGCUGCCUAAACUGUAAGUUCGUGGAUGAAGACUGCUUCCAUCGAUACUACUGUUGCUGCUAUAGACUGGUCAUCAAUACGAUUCAUCCGAUGGUCUAAUGAGCUGAGACUUAGUCGUAGAUGGUUCUCUUUCACGUUCAUGUCAUCCAAGCGGAG